rnacentral:rRNA from 1 species
ACAGGGAUUGCCCUAGUAACGGCGAGUGAAGCGGCAACAGCUCAAAUUUGAAAUCUGGCGUCUUCGGCGUCCGAGUUGUAAUUUGCAGAGGGCGCUUUGGCAUUGGCAGCGGUCCAAGUUCCUUGGAACAGGACGUCACAGAGGGUGAGAAUCCCGUACGUGGUCGCUAGCCUUUACCGUGUAAAGCCCCUUCGACGAGUCGAGUUGUUUGGGAAUGCAGCUCUAAAUGGGAGGUAAAUUUCUUCUAAAGCUAAAUACUGGCCAGAGACCGAUAGCGCACAAGUAGAGUGAUCGAAAGAUGAAAAGCACUUUGGAAAGAGAGUUAAAAAGCACGUGAAAUUGUUGAAAGGGAAGCGCUUGCAGCCAGACUUGCCUGUAGUUGCUCAUCCGGGUUUCUACCCGGUGCACUCUUCUAUAGGCAGGCCAGCAUCAGUUUGGGCGGUUGGAUAAAGGUCUCUGUCAUGUACCUCUCUUCGGGGAGAACUUAUAGGGGAGACGACAUGCAACCAGCCUGGACUGAGGUCCGCGCAUCUGCUAGGAUGCUGGCGUAAUGGCUGUAAGCGGCCCGUCUUGAAACACGGACCAAGGAGUCUAACAUCUAUGCGAGUGUUUGGGUGUCAAGCCCGAGCGCGUAAUGAAAGUGAACGGAGGUGGGAACCUUUCGGGGUGCACCAUCGACCGAUCCUGAUGUCUUCGGAUGGAUUUGAGUAAGAGCAUAGCUGUUGGGACCCGAAAGAUGGUGAACUAUGCUUGAAUAGGGUGAAGCCAGAGGAAACUCUGGUGGAGGCUCGCAGCGGUUCUGACGUGCAAAUCGAUCGUCAAAUUUGGGCAUAGGGGCGAAAGACUAAUCGAACUAUCUAGUAGCUGGUUCCUGCCGAGUC